GACCAAUGUCAGGCAGUCCUUGUUGGCGGUCUGCUCGUCUCUAGGCAGGGUUGGGUCGACUUUGGCACCGUUAACGCAGUUGCUGGCACAGCCCACCAUAUUCUUCGGGAGCCUGGCGCUGGCAGCCAGCGUCCUGGUCUUCACGCUUCCAGAGACCAUCAACUGUCCUCUACCAGACACCAUCGAAGAAGCCGAGCAGUUAUCCAAAAGAAAGGUCCAACAAGAACAACCAUAGUUUAAACAGUUUCUCAUAAACGCCUUCUCAAUUUGACUUAGCUAAAUCACAGAGCGGCCAAAUGCAUAUUGAUAUUUUUGAUAACUGCAUCGUAACAAUAUUUUAUUUCAGAAUUCAGAUCAUCAUUUUGAUCGACUUUGUAUUUUUAUCACAAGAUGACAUCACAAUGAAAAGACAUUACUUACAUUAUUUGAUAUUCAUAUAGGAACGAGACGUUAACUUUUUAUAAUACCUAACUCAAAUCUUUGUAUAAUUUUGAAGCAAUUAAUUUAAGUGAUCGUAUGUUAAAAAGUUUAUUAAUAUUACCUACAUACUUCUGUAUUUUUUGCACUAUGUAUAAAUGGGCACUUAUUGAAAUAAAAUGUAUUGUGUAUAAUGUUACUUAGUUUACUUACUUUUACAUGACAUGUGAGCUACCAUAAUUACAAUCUCAAUUUUAAUGUGAUUAAACAUGAUGCCAUAAAGCACAGCACUUUGCCAUAAAAAUGUUUCUUUAAUAAUAAAAAGUGUUCAACUACGUACAAACAUGAGAGAAAGAUAUUUGAGAGAUGCUUUUACAUUUUGAGAAUAAAUCUUUUUAUUCUAAAAAA